rnacentral:lncRNA from 1 species
GAAGCUAUGUGUUUCCUGUCGUAUUUGACACCGCAGAGAAUGAAUACCGGGCUGGCUUCUAUCUAAAUUUAGACUGGCAGGAACGUGGCGACUCUUAGUAAGUCGAGAUAAACAAAACUAGGUGACGUUUCCAACACUCUCAAAGAAGACGAGGGGGUGAAAAAAAAAAAAAAAGCCCCAAAGCCCUGUUACUAAAAGGGAGAGCGGGGUGCAUUUGAAGAGGCCUGUGUGUAGGCUCAGAAAGAGACUGGCUGGAGCCGUUUUCUUUAAGGCAGGAGGAGGGCCGUGGGGUCGGCGCCAAAUUGAGCGAGGCGAAGCCCCGGAGCCCAGGCACCUCCAGUUCGGGGUGAAAACUACGCACAGGCAGCAGCUGCCUCACCUCUUUGU